rnacentral:rRNA from 1 species
CAGCAUGGUCUUAGCUUGCUAAGACUGAUGGCGACCGGCGCACGGGUGAGUAACACGUAUCCAACCUGCCGUCUACUCUUGGACAGCCUUCUGAAAGGAAGAUUAAUACAAGAUGGCAUCAUGAGUCCGCAUGUUCACAUGAUUAAAGGUAUUCCGGUAGACGAUGGGGAUGCGUUCCAUUAGAUAGUAGGCGGGGUAACGGCCCACCUAGUCUUCGAUGGAUAGGGGUUCUGAGAGGAAGGUCCCCCACAUUGGAACUGAGACACGGUCCAAACUCCUACGGGAGGCAGCAGUGAGGAAUAUUGGUCAAUGGGCGAGAGCCUGAACCAGCCAAGUAGCGUGAAGGAUGACUGCCCUAUGGGUUGUAAACUUCUUUUAUAGAGGAAUAAAGUCGGGUAUGUAUACCCGUUUGCAUGUACUUUAUGAAUAAGGAUCGGCUAACUCCGUGCCAGCAGCCGCGGUAAUACGGAGGAUCCGAGCGUUAUCCGGAUUUAUUGGGUUUAAAGGGAGCGUAGAUGGAUGUUUAAGUCAGUUGUGAAAGUUUGCGGCUCAACCGUAAAAUUGCAGUUGAUACUGGAUAUCUUGAGUGCAGUUGAGGCAGGCGGAAUUCG